rnacentral:tRNA from 1 species
AUUAAGGUGGCAGAGUCGGCAAUUGCAUAAAACUUAAGCCUUUAUAACCAGAGGUUCAAAUCCUCUCCUUAAUA